rnacentral:rRNA from 1 species
AGAAAUAGCUACCACUUCUACGGAGGGCAGCAGGCGCGCAAAUUGCCCAAUGCCAAGAAAUGGUGAGGCAGCGAAAAGAAAUAGGUCUCCCAAAUACCCAUUGGGUGUUUGGGAGUUUACAAUGGGGGAUAUUUAAACCCAUCAAAAAUCGAGUAACAAUUGGAGGACAAGUCUGGUGCCAGCACCCGCGGUAAUUCCAGCUCCAAGAGCAUAUAUUAAUGCUGUUGCUGUUAAAGGGUUC